AAAUGUCGAGAGGGGGGUGCUAGAGAUCGAGCUAGAAUGCGUUCCUCUUACUCAAUAGUUAAACCAGAUACACAAUUUCCAUCAACUGGAAGAUGCAUAAUAGGAAAAAAUGUUUAGCUUGCUGCUAUUCUUGUAUAUUGCUAUACAAUCCUUGUUUACAAGGAGUCUUAGAAAUUUCAUUGACGAUUUUGUGGAUAGUUUGUAAAAUUUUCUAGUUACUGAACACAAUUCAAAAUGUUAAUCAGG
rnacentral:misc_RNA from 1 species